CGAGUUGUUUAUACACAUUAUAGUCUAGACCAGAGGUUCCCAAACUUUUAUUUCAGAUGUAUUUAUCGUAAAAAUGACGAAGCAUGCGGUUUUUACUUAAUAAUUUUAAUUGACAAAUAUUUACAUCUCAUGCACGCCCAAUUUUUGCUUUCGAUAACAAUGAUCCCUUGCAGGUCAGAAGAAACCCCUGGGUUAAUUGUAAUGAUAUGAAUAGUCGGAAAAUAAAAUAGAACAAUCGAAUGGUAAUUUGAA